GACGAACGCUGGCGGCGUGCUUAACACAUGCAAGUCGAACGGAAAGGCCCUGCUUUUGUGGGGUGCUCGAGUGGCGAACGGGUGCGUAACACGUGAAUAACCUGACCUUGACUUUGGUAUAACUUCAGGAAGCUGGAGCUACUCCCGGAUAGGAGCUCCUGCUGCAGGGUAGGGGUUGGAACGUUUCGGCUGUUGGGGUUGGACUCGCGGCUUAUCAACUUGUUGGUUGGGUAGUUGCUUACCAAGGCAUUGACGGGUAGCCGGCCUGAGAGGGUGACCGGCCACAUUGGGCCUGAGAUACGGCCCAGACGCCUACGGGAGGCAGCAGUGGGGAAUAUUGCACAAUGGGCGGAAGCCUGAUGCAGAAACGCCGCGUGCGGGAUGACGGCUUUCGGGUUGAAAACAGCUGUCGCCUGUGACGAAGCGUGAGUGACGGUAAUGGGUAAAGAAGCACCGGCUAACUACGUG
rnacentral:rRNA from 1 species